rnacentral:rRNA from 1 species
UGCAUGACUCUCAACAAUGGAUAUCUUGGCUCUCGCAUCGAUGAAGAACGUAGCAAAAUGCGAUACUUGGUGUGAUUACAGAAUAUCAUGACCAUCGAGUCUUUGACUCAAGUGCGCCCAGGCUAUCUGCAGGGUGCGUCUGCCUAGGCGUCAUG